UCUGUUGUUGUGGUUGGAGCUUCUGUUGUUGUGGUUGGAGCAGCUGUGGUUGUAGUUGCAGCUGCUGUGGUUGUGGUUGGAGUUGCUGUUGUUGUCGUUGGAGCUACAGUUGUUGUGUUUGGAGCAAAUGUUGUUGUGGUUGGAGUAACUGUGGUUGUGGUUGCAGCUACUGUAGUUGUGGGUAGUGCUUCUGUUGUUGUAGUCGUAGCAGUUGUCGUUGUGGUUGGAGCAGCUGUGGUUGUGGUUGGAGCAAAU